rnacentral:rRNA from 1 species
GACGAACGCUGGCGGCGUGCUUAACACAUGCAAGUCGAACGGAAAGGCCCUGCUUUUGUGGGGUGCUCGAGUGGCGAACGGGUGAGUAACACGUGAGUAACCUGCCCUUGACUUUGGGAUAACUUCAGGAAACUGGGGCUAAUACCGGAUAGGAGCUCCUGCUGCAUGGUGGGGGUUGGAAAGUUUCGGCGGUUGGGGAUGGACUCGCGGCUUAUCAGCUUUUUGGUGGGGUAGUGGCUUACCAAGGCUUUGACGGGUAGCCGGCCUGAGAGGGUGACCGGCCACAUUGGGACUGAGAUACGGCCCAGACUCCUACGGGAGGCAGCAGUGGGGAAUAUUGCACAAUGGGCGGAAGCCUGAUGCAGCAACGCCGCGUGCGGGAUGACGGCCUUCGGGUUGUAAACCGCUUUCGCCUGUGACGAAGCGUGAGUGACGGUAAUGAGUAAAGAAGCACCGGCUAACUACGUG